UACGUACCGGACAAACGUUAUUCGGAAUUACUGGGCUUAAAGAGUGCGUAGGCGGCCUAGCAGGUGGGGUGUGAAAGCCCACGGCCCAACCGUGGAAUUGCGCUUCAAACCGCUAGGCUGGAGGGAGACAGGGGUGAGCGGAACUGAUGGUGGAGCGGUGAAAUGCGUUGAUAUCAUCAGGAACACCGGUGGCGAAGGCGGCAUCCUGGACCAAUACUGACGCUGAGGAGCGAAAGCCAGGGGAGCAAACGGG
rnacentral:rRNA from 1 species